AGUAUACUCAGGGCGGUGCUGGC
rnacentral:siRNA from 1 species